UAUGUGAUCCUGGGGCUUGGUCUCCUUAAUGCUGGGAUAAUGUAUUUGAUUUCCAUGAUAUGAGUGGAAUGUAAUGGAUGUACUGGUAAUAUAUUUGUAUUAUUUAUUUUAAUUAGUCAUAAGGAAUAAAAUUUGCAAUGAUUUAAAAAGUAAAUGUUGAAGCUUGUAUUUACAAUACAAUAUAUUAGUACUUUUAUACAGAGUCCAUCACAGAUUUAUUGAGAGCUAGCCGCAACGCAAUGGAAAAACAGGACAUCUUGAACCUCAGAGAAAACAUUCCAUACCAUUGUUUUCCCUCUCUCAGUUCCUGUGAUGAAAGAAGUCAACUUGAUAGGUUUGUUUCAAUCUAUUUUGUGAAUGUUUUUCUUGUUUGAUAAUAGGUUAGUCAUACAUAUGUAGCUGCAACAAUGUAGCCCUCUCCGAUUUUUUAUAACUGAUGUUUACUCCCCCCCCCCC